UCCGUAGGUGGAUAAUUAAGUCAGAGGUGAAAUCCUGCAGCUCAACUGUAGAAUUGCCUUUGAUACUGGUUAUCUUGAGUCAUUAUGAAGUGGUUAGAAUGUGUAGUGUAGCGGUGAAAUGCAUAGAUAUUACACAGAAUACCGAUUGCGAAGGCAGAUCACUAAUAAUGUACUAACACUGAGGGACGAAAGCGUGGGGAGCGAACAGGAUUAGAUACCCUGGUAGUCC
rnacentral:rRNA from 1 species